AGAGUUUGAUCCUGGCUCAGAUUGAACGCUGGUGACAUGCUUUACACAUGCAAGUCGAACGGCAGCACAGGGAGCUUGCUCCCGGGUGGCGAGUGGCGCACGGGUGAGUAAUACAUCGGAACGUGUCCUGUUGUGGGGGAUAACUGCUCGAAAGGGUGGCUAAUACCGCAUGAGACCUGAGGGUGAAAGCGGGGGAUCGCAAGACCUCGCGCAAUUGGAGCGGCCGAUGCCCGAUUAGCUAGUUGGUGAGGUAAAGGCUCACCAAGGCGACGAUCGGUAGCUGGUCUGAGAGGACGACCAGCCACACUGGGACUGAGACACGGCCCAGACUCCUACGGGAGGCAGCAGUGGGGAAUUUUGGACAAUGGGGGCAACCCUGAUCCAGCCAUGCCGCGUGCAGGAUGAAGGCCUUCGGGUUGUAAACUGCUUUUGUCAGGGACGAAAAGGAUCGUGAUAAUACCAUGGUCUGCUGACGGUACCUGAAGAAUAAGCACCGGCUAACUACGUGCCAUCAGCCGCGGU
rnacentral:rRNA from 1 species